CAGGUAAUCAACUGAUGAUACACAGGUAAAUAGCAGGUGAUCAAAAGGUGAUCAACUGAAGAUUCCGCAUGUAGAAACAAAGAUGACCAAUAGGUGAUCAACAGAUGAUCCACAGGUUUUCAGCUCUGCAUGUGGUGCCCAUUGACUGUACAAGACAACUGGACUGAGUGACCCCUCCCCCCUGGCAUUCCAUACAGGAAGUACCUGCUGAAGACAGCAGCCAGAGGAGAGUCAGCCGCGGCCAAAAUCCUAGCUGGAAAGGUGCGGCGCAGGAAUUUGGCAGCAAUUCCGCCAGCGCUGGUCCACGCCUUUGAAGGCAAAAUGGAAACAGGAAACAAAGCCAAGGAAGAAGAACCCGACCCGCUCUGGGAUUCUGGAUCCAGGAUUACUGGAAUUGGACAUCCAGGAAGUUUUUAAAUGUCACGGUCUGCCGGCGUCACUGAGCUGAUGAGUUGGCGUUCUGUGGAAGAUUUGAGCCCCCCCCCGCACACUCCCACUCCUUUUUGGUGCACAGAAAAUAAAAUUGAUGCAGAAAGAGCGAUCAUAGAUUGAAUUCAAAUGGAGCAAAAGUGUGCAGAGAAGGCUGAGAAUCAAUGUCAGUGCUUUCAAUUCAUUUUCUGCUUGUUUUCUCUGAUCGCGCUCCUGCCUGACAUGUUGCUUCACCUCUGCAGAUGCAGGUUACUCUGUGACUCCACCUUCUUCUGGGUUCUCAGUGUGAGCUUUUAACCAAACAAGAAACCUGGAGAGAAAAAAAGAAAUAAAUCUGCAGGAACAUCUCCUGAUGAAUUUCAGGACAGUGUCGUAUAUCUGUGAUAAAUUGACUUUAAUAUCAAUCAACAGCCGCUGAUUCCAAGCAGAGGGA